UAGCCUACGGGGGGCAGCAGUGAGGAAUAUUGGUCAAUGGCCGAGAGGCUGAACCAGCCAAGUCGCGUGAGGGAAGAAUGUCCUAUGGAUUGUAAACCUCUUUUGUCAGGGAGCAAAGUCACCCACGUGUGGGCGUAUGGAGAGUACCUGAAGAAAAAGCAUCGGCUAACUCCGUGCCAGCAGCCGCGGUAAUACGGAGGAUGCGAGCGUUAUCCGGAUUUAUUGGGUUUAAAGGGUGCGUAGGCGGGACCUUAAGUCAGCGGUAAAAUUGCGGUGCUCAACGCCGUAGAGCCGUUGAAACUGGG
rnacentral:rRNA from 1 species